GUUGGAGUAAAUCUUCAAGCUGCUGAUACAGUUAUAAUUUUUGACACAGAUUGGAAUCCUCAGGUUGAUCUUCAAGCACAAGCAAGGGCUCAUAGGAUAGGUCAAAAGAAGGAUGUUCUUGUUCUUCGAUUAGAAACGGUCCAAACUGUUGAGGAACAAGUUAGAGCUGCUGCUGAGCAUAAACUGGGAGUUGCUAACCAAAGCAUUACUGCUGGGUUCUUUGAUAAUAACACAAGUGCGGAAGACCGAAG
rnacentral:misc_RNA from 1 species